UGGCGUUCGUGAUGAUGGAGGAGGAUGGAGAGGACAUGAUCUGUAUGAUACAGGGCUAUCACUACUUGUCCACGCAGCGCAUCAUGCCUCUCACCAUAGACCGCACGGGCGAUCGGUCGCGCGCCCCCCAGGUCGUGCGAAGGCUCAUGGGUCCGCCGUACUUUGACCAGCACCGCGUGCUGACCGAGCUGACCCACGUCACUUGGUAACUGUCGUCUGGCUGUGAUGAGGGACGAGGCCUUAUAGAUCUGAUCUGUGUCACACGCGGUCCGCCCCCAGCGCCAUGGAGAGGCCUCACUCCGACGCAGUCAUGAUGAUUAAGGAUGAGGUGUCGCGAGUGCUGGUGGAUGUUGCUACCAACACAGGCGAUCUGUCUCCCGUGGAGAAUGGAGCGCAUGAUCUAGGCAGCGAUGUACAGAC